UUCAAGUGGAACCAAGAAAGGUUUCGUUACUCCUUCUUCUGACCCAAAAGAGGCUGAAUGCUUCUAUUGCCAUGAAAAAGCUCAUUGGAAGCGGAACUGCCCAAAAUACCAGCAAGAUGUGAAGGAUGGGAAAGUUAAACCCAACCAUGCAGGUAUUUACACUAUCAUUUCUAAUAACUCACCCCAUUCUAAUUCUUGGGUCCUUGAUACCGGGUGUGGUAUUCACAUUUGUUGUGACUUGCAGGGACUAAGAAGAAGUGAGGAUGUGGAGCAAGGAAGGAUAAACUUGAUCAUGGGGAAUAGGAAAGCUAUACCUGUUACCAAGAUUGGAGUUUAUACUUUAUCGCUAAGUAGUGGGUUUAGUUUAGAUUUGAAUAAGUGUUGUUAUUCGCCAGGAAUGGCAAGAAAUAUUAUUUCCUUUCAUGCUUUGUACAAACAAGGGUUUACCUUUUCAUUUAAUAAUGAAGUUGGUUCUAUAGAUGUUUUCUAUAAUAAUGUCUUUUAUUUUAAAGCAUUACCUUGUGAUGGUGUGUAUGAAGCUGUAUCUGUUGUAGAUAACUUGGGAAAUAAUGUUUUGUGUAUUGAUUCUACUAAUAAUAACUUGGAUAAAGCAUCUUUAUGGCAUUGUCGUCUUGGACAUAUAAGCAAGAAACGCAUAGGCCAACUCCAAAAGGAUGGAGUCUUGGAGUCGUUUGACCUAAAGUCAGAUGAUAGUUGCGAAUCAUGCUUACUUGGAAAAAUGACAAAGUCACCCUUCACAGGUUCGUGUGAGAGGGGUGAAGGUUUGUUGGACCUUAUACACACGGAUGUGUGUGGACCAUUCAAACAUGCCACAAGGGAUGCUAAUCGUUAUUAUUUGACUUUUACUGAUGAUUAUAGUAGAUAUGGAUAUGUCUACUUGAUCAAGCAUAAGUCAGAGACUUUCGAGAGGUUUAAGGAAUUUAAACAGGAAGUCGAGAAUCAAUUGGGCAGGAACAUUAAGAUGCUUCGAUCCGAUCGUGGUGGUGAGUAUCUUAGUUCAGAGUUCCUCGACUAUCUAAGGGAAUGUGGGAUAGUCUCACAAUUGACACCUCCCAGGACACCACAGUUGAAUGGUGUGGCUGAGAGGCGUAAUCGAACCUUGUUAGAUAUGGUUCGUUCCAUGAUGAGUCGAGCUACGCUACCAAUCUCAUUCUGGGGGUAUGCCUUAGAGACUGCCGCCCAUAUUCUUAAUCUAGUCCCUACAAAGAAAGUUGCCAAAACUCCUCACGAGAUGUGGACUGGUAAAGUACCUAAACUAGACCACAUCAAGAUUUGGGGUUGCGAGGCUUUCGUGAGACGCGAGACUCAUGAUAAGCUCGAACCUCGAAGCGAGAGGUGUAUUUUCAUCGGUUACCCACAGCGAUCCUUUGGUUACCUCUUCUACAGACCUAGUGACAAUGUGGUCUUUGUAGCAAGAAGAGGAGUCUUUCGAGAAAGAGAGUUUAUAAGCCAAGGAGACAGUGGGAGGCAAAUUGAUCUUGAAGAAAUUCAAGAAUCAAGCGGUGAAGGAACUUCAAACUCUAGCCCUCAACUUGAGGAGGAAACUCCUGUUGAGCCAAUUGACAAAUCUGUACCUCUGAGACGUUCCACGAGAGUUAGGAGUGCACCUGAGCAUUACUAUGGAUUCCAUAUUACUGCAGAAGGUGAGACACUUAUUAGUGAUGAGACACUAGUAAGUCAAGAUGACCCUAACAGCUACGAGGAAGCCAUGGCAGGCCCCGAGUCUGCUAAAUGGAAAGAGGCUAUGGAUAGCGAGAUACAAUCCAUGUAUGACAAUCAAGUUUGGAACUUGGUUGAAAAUGUACCAGGUCGUAAGACAGUAGGGUGCAAAUGGGUCUUCAAGAAGAAGACCGACAUGGAUGGUAAAGUACACACUUAUAAGGCUAGACUGGUUGCAAAGGGCUUCUCUCAAAUUCCUGGAGUGGAUUAUGAUGAGACCUUUUCUCCGGUAGCCAAGAUUAAGUCUAUUCGGGUUCUGUUAGCCAUAGCUGCAUUUCAUGACUAUGAAAUAUGGCAGAUGGAUGUCAAAACCGCUUUCCUUAAUGGAAAGUUGGCUGAAGAUGUUUACAUGAGUCAGCCAGAGGGUUUUGUCAGCAACGAGUACCCUAAUAGAGUGUGUAAGCUUGAGAAAUCCAUUUAUGGAUUGAAGCAAGCACCUCGCAGAUGGAAUCUUUGCUUUGAUGAAAAGGUCAAGGAAUUUGGCUUUUCUAGGAGUGAAGAUGAAUCUUGUGUGUAUGUCAAGGCUAGUGGGAGUAUAGUUAGCUUUUUGGUAUUGUAUGUGGAUGACAUACUACUCAUAGGAAACGACAUUCCAACCCUGCAGGAAGUAAAGUCCUGGCUUGGGAAGUGUUUCGCUAUGAAGGACCUUGGUGAAGCUGCCUAUAUUCUAGGGAUAAGAAUCUUGAGAGAUCGGAGUAAAAGACUAAUUGGACUUAGUCAGAGUACCUACUUGGAUAAGGUGCUGAAGAGAUUCAGCAUGCAGGAUUCCAAGAAAGGAGAGUUACCCAUCCAGAGUAACACCAGAUUGAGUAAGACACAAAGCCCUAGCACUGAGGCUGAGAUAGCAGAAAUGAGUCGAACACCUUACGCUUCGGCUGUAGGAUCGAUCAUGUAUGCUAUGACGUGUACUCGACCCGAUGUAGCUUUUGCCUUGAGCAUGGUUAGCAGGUAUCAGGCGAACCCUGGCAAGGCACACUGGACUGCGGUAAAGAAUAUCCUCAAGUACCUACGGAGGACUAAGGACUGGGUCCUUACCCUCGGUGGGAGUGAUGACUUGAGAGUUGUAGGGUAUAGUGAUGCUAGCUUCCAGACUGAUAGGGAUAAUUUCCGCUCUCAGUCGGGCUGGGUCUUUACCCUAAACGGAGGAGCAAUUUCUUGGAAGAGUUCCAAGCAAGAGACAGUGGCAGAUUCUACUUGUGAAUCAGAGUAUAUUGCAGCUAGUGAAGCAGCAAAGGAGGCGAUAUGGCUGAAGAACUUCAUUGGAGACCUUGGAGUUGUACCAGCUAUUAAAGAGCCAAUGGAAAUUUUCUGUGAUAGUGAAAGUGCUGUUGCCUUAGCCAAGGAACCAAGGGAUCAUGGGAGAUCCAGACACAUCGACAGAAAAUACCAUUUCAUUAGACAUCGGAUCGAAGAAGGACUCCUCGUGGCAAAGAGGGUAUCAUCGGAUGAGAACCCAGCAGAUCCCCUCACGAAGGGACUGAGUAGGGUUAAGCAUCUCCAGCAUGCUCGGAGCAUAGGGCUGAAGGAUGAUAUAAGUUUUAGUAGUUAGAUAACCCAGAAAUUUGUAAAGUGUAAUUGACAUUUGAUGAUGAAUAAAAGGUGUUUUAUUUAUGAGUAAAGUGUUGCUAUCUCUUGUCGAUCGUUUACUAUAUUUCUUUUGCAUGUUUUGACUUCCAGAAUAAUUUUGUUUGGUAUAACAUAUUAUUCAAACCUCCACAGUCGGUCAUAUGUUGGAAGUAGAUAUGAAUCAAGACUGUCAUGUUUGGUUGUAGAGGUCUUGGACAAGGCUACAACAAUCAUGAGUGCUCAUAAGUUCUGAGCAUUGGACUCAACCCACGCUCACUGGAAUCACUUCAUGGAAUUCUAUCUCGAGUGAUCGUGAGACGGUAAUAUCAUAUAAGUCUUCAAACCUAGAGAUAUGAUUUGUUACUUACAAGUUGGUUAUGCAUUGACUGUACGAAACCGCAUUGGUAACUCGAUGUUAUAAAACGUACUUUUGUGUGUAAUUCAAUGAGUGGUAGAACAAACAUAUGAGUCGAAGUUUAUCUGUUCCUUCUUGGAUUAGAAGCUGAUAUCUGGGCCCCUCGAUGAUUUUGUUUUGACCCAUGUACCGGGCCCGGUCAGAACUAAGUUGAUGUGUUCAAUUAAGUUCUAUGUCAAACAAAUCGGAAAUCGGGAAACAAAUGCUGGACAAUAAGCAAGACAAUGUUCCAUGUAUUUGUCCGGCUGAUAUCUAGAACGGAGGAUUAUAUGAUCACUUAUCUUAAAUGGCGUACCAUCAUCUUCUCAGUUCCGAGAGACCUUGAAAGAGCUACGAUUGCCGGUCGGUUCCUGAAGUACUAGAGAUAUAGUUAUUAGACUUAUCCAAGUGGGAGACUGUUGGAUAAGGUGUCUAAGUCCAUAACUAUUUCGGGCUUGUACUUGACCCGACCCGGCAUGGUCCAUUUGGGUUGCAUGGCACCAUGCAAUUGGAUAGACUAAAUGAGAGAAAUAACACUUGGAGAUUAUUAAUAUAUUAUAAGUUCUAAUAUAUUAAUAAUAUUAUUUGAUUAGUUGAUCAAAGAAUUAAUUUGGAAUUAAUUAAGUGAUCAAAGGAUAACUAAUUAAAUAUAUGGGUUGAUUAUGUAAAUCAUCCAUAUCUUGUAUAGUGGGCUAAGAGGCUCCAUGGAUUAUCAAGUUGGGUUCUACCCAUAGGAUGCUCCAUGGAUGCUCCAUGGGAGUUACAAACCCAUGGGUCAUGGAAAUGAAGAGUCAUGACACAUUAGGGUUUACAUGGUGUAACCCUAGAUGUGCCAACACUAUAUAAGAGUCCCAUUCUCCACAAAAUUGGCUACACAAGUUGAACACUAAGAAACUAGAGGGCUUGGCCGAUUUUGAGAAGUGUGUGUUAUCUCAAGAGUCUUUCCAAGAGCAUUUGGUGUUGUGUGAAGCAUUUGAGGCAUCACACUUGGGGUGCUAGGCUCACAAGGUUUCAAGGAACACAAGCAACAACAAGGUAAGUUAUUCUAUCUAUGAUUCAAGUUAAAAUUGUUCCCCAUGUAUGCUAGAUAGGAAUAUAACCUUGGAAUUCAACUUUGCAUGAUAAUUAGACAAACAUAGAUCCAAGGUUAUUAGGGUUGCAUGUACACUUAGGAAGUGUUAGAAUGCUCAAAACCCAUCAGUGGUAUCAGAGCCUAGGCUUGUUUGUUUGUUAUUUGUGCUUAAAAGUUGAAGAAAGUCGAAAAUUCUGCUGUCUGACUGAUGGACUCGGCGAGUCCAUGGGGAGGACUCGUCGAGUUCAUGUGUAUCUUCAACCUACUCGGCGAGUAGGUUUAUGCACUCGGCGAGUAGGGUCGACAGAGUGCAGAAUUUCGACUUGAGUUGCUGGAAAUGGAUUAGAAUCAUUACCCUAAAAUGUUUUGGUACUUGAAAACUUAUUUUAGAAGGUGUAAUGUCUUUUCUAACUCAUUUACAACAACUAGUUAUCAAAAUUACAAAGAUUAAAUGUGAUUUUGAUUCUUGAAAGUGUUCAUAUUCAUAUUCUUGUUCUUAUGAUGUUUAGAUGAUCAUAGGAAUUAUUUGUAACCUAUGUGGUAGAUUAAUUCAUGAUCAUAAUGUGUUUUAAUGGAGUCCAUAACUUGUCCUCAAGUUAUGGAAAACCAAAAGUCUCUUGGAUUAAAAACCAUUAAAAGAACACAAGAGUUAGGAAAAAUGAAAAGUCCUCAUUUUAUUACUCUAUUAAACUCAUAAGUUACAAGAAAUGAAAAGUUUUGAAAGUUUACAAAACUUGCCCUCAAGUUUUGGAACAAGUAAAGUUAAGUUAAAACUUUAGUUCCAACCCCUAGAAUUUUAAAAGUUAAAAUUCAACCCUUAUACUUAUAUUAUUAUGAUUUAAUAAUUAUAUAUAUAUGUAUAAGAACAAAGUCGUCUUACCGCUAGUACGCCUCAUUCACGAAGCCGGUCUAUAAGGUGGGUAUAAGGUUGUUGCCUAUAAAAUGGUGACUUAAUGGGUGUCCACUCUCACCCACCGCUUGCUUGAUCGGUGGAGGGUCGUUAGCCGAACGGGUAAGACAAGGACUUAUUAAUUCUCAUUCAAAGUAUGAUGAAUAUUAUAAAGUAACUAAAUGUUUUAUUAAAUUCCCAAUCUUAGUUACUUUAGGAAAAAUGUGAAUAAGGUGCUAUUCCAUGAAAUUACACUUUACACUUUGAUUAAGUCGUUGGUGGAGCGUGUGUGGUUAACCGGCACACUAACUUGGACUUAACAAGGUAGGUAAAGGGUGACUUAGGGUUUAUUAUAGUAUCGAUGGAGCGUGUGUGGUUAACCGGCACAUCGAUUGAGUGAUAAACUUUAAGGGUACCAAGUGAUUUGCAUGGUUACUUCACACCUCGUUUUGUGAUCCUCGGUAUCCCAGUCACAAAACUUGGAGGGCACACUCGAGAUUGAAACAUGCCUUUGAAAAGUUCAUUGAAUCUCAAAGAAUCUAGGAAUUUCUAAGAACCAUUCAAAAACCUAAUACUAAAAUAUUGCGGUUUUCGUGGUGGAAAUUGGUGAAUCGUCAUUCACCUACCUUUCAAAUAUGAUAUAGCUUAGAUUACGGCAUACCUCUUCUAAGUUAUAUUAUAUUGUGAUUGGAUCCUAGCCUUAAUAUUACAUUUGGGUGUUUUAUUAAGGACUCUCUUAUAUCUAAACUAAUCUUGUCCUCUUUCCUUCAGAUGUCUUUCAACAAUGCUUCUGGCUCUAAUCCUAAUGGCUCCUUUACCCUUAUGAACUUGUGUGGGAAAGUCACCUUUGAUGGAUCCAACUUCAAUGAGUGGAUCAGAAACAUCAGGAUGAUUACCCGCUACGAGGACAAAGAAUAUGUCCUUGACAAGGAGCUUAAGGAGAUUGAUGAGUCCACUGCAACUCCUCAGGAGAUCGCUGAAUUUCGGGCACAUGAAAGGGAUGCUACGAAAGUGGCUUGCAUCAUGAUGGCCACGAUGACAGCGGAACUCCAAAAGUCUUAUGAGGAUUUCUACCCUUAUGACAUGCACCAAGAUUUGAUGGAAAGAUACCAUCAAAGUGCAAGACAAGAGAGGUAUGAAAUCAUCUGCUCCAUGAUAACAACCAUGAUGAAGGACGGGGAAUCCGUCACGAGCCACAUGCAGAAAAUGCAAAGGUAUGUGGAUCGUUUGCUGAAGCUUAAUGUGAACUUCCCGGAGGAUCUUGCAAUAGAUAUUAUUUUGCAUUCCUUACCAUCGUGCUAUGAUCAAUUCCGCAUGACAUAUCACAUGAACAAGGAAGAAGUCACCCUCAGCAAACUUCAGGGACUUCUCAAGACCGCAGAAACAGGUCUUAAGGGGAAGUCGGUUGCUAUCACUCCUACUCAAAACUCUACUCCGGUUUUGGCAAUCGGGAAAAGUCGAGGGAGGAAGAGAAAGAGCUCUUCUAAGGGUACCAAGGCUCGGACCCUUGAUGGCUCUUCUUCAAGUGGAACCAAGAAAGGUUUCGUUACUCCUUCUUCUGACCCAAAAGAGGCUGAAUGCUUCUAUUGCCAUGAAAAAGCUCAUUGGAAGCGGAACUGCCCAAAAUACCAGCAAGAUGUGAAGGAUGGGAAAGUUAAACCCAACCAUGCAGGUAUUUACACUAUCAUUUCUAAUAACUCACCCCAUUCUAAUUCUUGGGUCCUUGAUACCGGGUGUGGUAUUCACAUUUGUUGUGACUUGCAGGGACUAAGAAGAAGUGAGGAUGUGGAGCAAGGAAGGAUAAACUUGAUCAUGGGGAAUAGGAAAGCUAUACCUGUUACCAAGAUUGGAGUUUAUACUUUAUCGCUAAGUAGUGGGUUUAGUUUAGAUUUGAAUAAGUGUUGUUAUUCGCCAGGAAUGGCAAGAAAUAUUAUUUCCUUUCAUGCUUUGUACAAACAAGGGUUUACCUUUUCAUUUAAUAAUGAAGUUGGUUCUAUAGAAGUUUUCUAUAAUAAUGUCUUUUAUUUUAAAGCAUUACCUUGUGAUGGUGUGUAUGAAGCUGUAUCUGUUGUAGAUAACUUGGGAAAUAAUGUUUUGUGUAUUGAUUCUACUAAUGAUAACUUGGAUAAAGCAUCAUUAUGGCAUUGUCGUCUUGGACAUAUAAGCAAGAAACGCAUAGGCCAACUCCAAAAAGAUGGAGUCUUGGAGUCGUUUGACCUAAAGUCAGAUGAUAGUUGCGAAUCAUGCUUACUUGGAAAAAUGACAAAGUCACCCUUCACAGGUUCGGAUUGGC
rnacentral:lncRNA from 1 species